CGUAACUUCGGGAGAAGGCACGCUGAUAUGUAGGUGAAGCGACUUGCUCGUGGAGCUGAAAUCAGUCGAAGAUACCAGCUGGCUGCAACUGUUUAUUAAAAACACAGCACUGUGCAAACACGAAAGUGGACGUAUACGGUGUGACGCCUGCCCGGUGCCGGAAGGUUAAUUGAUGGGGUCAGCGCAAGCGAAGCUCUUGAUCGAAGCCCCGGUAAACGGCGGCCGUAACUAUAACGGUCCUAAGGUAGCGAAAUUCCUUGUCGGGUAAGUUCCGACCUGCACGAAUGGCGUAAUGAUGGCCAGGCUGUCUCCACCCGAGACUCAGUGAAAUUGAACUCGCUGUGAAGAUGCAGUGUACCCGCGGCAAGACGGAAAGACCCCGUGAACCUUUACUAUAGCUUGACACUGAACAUUGAGCCUUGAUGUGUAGGAUAGGUGGGAGGCUUUGAAGUGUGGACGCCAGUCUGCAUGGAGCCGACCUUGAAAUACCACCCUUUAAUGUUUGAUGUUCUAACGUUGACCCGUAAUCCGGGUUGCGGACAGUGUCUGGUGGGUAGUUUGACUGGGGCGGUCUCCUCCUAAAGAGUAACGGAGGAGCACGAAGGUUGGCUAAUCCUGGUCGGACAUCAGGAGGUUAGUGCAAUGGCAUAAGCCAGCUUGACUGCGAGCGUGACGGCGCGAGCAGGUGCGAAAGCAGGUCAUAGUGAUCCGGUGGUUCUGAAUGGAAGGGCCAUCGCUCAACGGAUAAAAGGUACUCCGGGGAUAACAGGCUGAUACCGCCCAAGAGUUCAUAUCGACGGCGGUGUUUGGCACCUCGAUGUCGGCUCAUCACAUCCUGGGGCUGAAGUAGGUCCCAAGGGUAUGGCUGUUCGCCAUUUAAAGUGGUACGCGAGCUGGGUUUAGAACGUCGUGAGACAGUUCGGUCCCUAUCUGCCGUGGGCGCUGGAGAACUGAGGGGGGCUGCUCCUAGUACGAGAGGACCGGAGUGGACGCAUCACUGGUGUUCGGGUUGUCAUGCCAAUGGCACUGCCCGGUAGCUAAAUGCGGAAGAGAUAAGUGCUGAAAGCAUCUAAGCACGAAACUUGCCCCGAGAUGAGUUCUCCCUGACUCCUUGAGAGUCCUGAAGGAACGUUGAAGACGACGACGUUGAUAGGCCGGGUGUGUAAGCGCAGCGAUGCGUUGAGCUAACCGGUACUAAUGAACCGUGAGGCUUAACCUU
rnacentral:rRNA from 1 species